rnacentral:rRNA from 1 species
GGCCCCAAAGGGGCGGGGUAACCCCCGGCUUACAAGGGCGGAACCAAGGGGUUCCCCCCCCGAAAGGGACCGGUAAUCUCAAAAACUCAUUCUUAUUUCGAAUUGGGGGUUGCACCUCCCCCACAUGAAGCUGGAUUCGGAAUUAUUCCCCUUCCAGGAGAGGGCGGGAAAUCCUUCCCUGCCCCUGGAAAAAC